UACGUAGGGGGCAAGCGUUGUCCGGAAUCAUUGGGCGUAAAGCGCGUGUAGGCGGUCCGAUUAGUCGGCUGUGAAAGUCAAGGGCUCAACCCUUGAAUGCCGGCCGAUACUGUCAGGCUAGAGUCCGGAAGAGGCGAGUGGAAUUCCUGGUGUAGCGGUGAAAUGCGCAGAUAUCAGGAGGAACACCUAUGGCGAAGGCAGCUCGCUGGGACGGUACUGACGCUGAGACGCGAAAGCGUGGGGAGCGAACAGG
rnacentral:rRNA from 1 species